UACGUAGGGCGCAAGCGUUGUCCGGAAUUAUUGGGCGUAAAGAGCGUGUAGGCGGCCAGGUAGGUCUGGUGUGAAAACUCGAGGCUUAACCUCGAGAUGUCAUCGGAAACCAUCUGGCUAGAGUCCGGAAGAGGAGAGUGGAAUUCCUGGUGUAGCGGUGAAAUGCGCAGAUAUCAGGAAGAACACCAAUGGCGAAAGCAGCUCUCUGGGACGGUACUGACGCUGAGACGCGAAAGCGUGGGGAGCGAACAGG
rnacentral:rRNA from 1 species